rnacentral:rRNA from 1 species
UACGUAGGGUGCGAGCGUUGUCCGGAAUUAUUGGGCGUAAAGGGCUCGUAGGCGGUUUGUCGCGUCGGGAGUGAAAACUCAGGGCUUAACCCUGAGCCUGCUUCCGAUACGGGCAGACUAGAGGUAUGCAGGGGAGAAUGAAUUCCUGGUGUAGCGGUGAAAUGCGCAGAUAUCAGGAGGAACACCGGUGGCGAAGGCGGUUCUCUGGGCAUUACCUGACGCUGAGGAGCGAAAGUGUGGGGAGCGAACAGG